rnacentral:sRNA from 1 species
UUAAAAUUCCCGAAAGGAUCCACUUAACGUGGAGAUGCCUUGUAACCGGAAUAUUUUGAAGGGGGAAAUAUAAU